UGUAUUCUGUCUCCCUCUUUCUCUGCCCCUCCUCCACUCAUGCUCUGUCUCUUUCUCAAAAAUAAACAAACAUUAAAAAAAAUGUUUUGAACUGAAUGGUAAUGAAAACAACAUAUCAGAAUUUGUGGGAUGUCACUAAAGCAGUACUUACAGGGAAAUUUGUAGCAUUAAAUGCUUAUAUUAGAAAAGAAAAAUGGUGUCAAAUUGACAACACCAGCUUCUACUUUAAGAAACCAGAAAAAUAAGAACAAGUUAAUCCAAAAUAAACAGAAGAAAGGAAAUUUUAAAAAGAUCAAAGCAGAGAUCAAUGAAGUAGAAAAGAGAAAAACAAUAGGAAAAAAUCAAUGAAACCAAAAGCUGACACUUUGAGGUGAUCAAUUAAAUGGAUUAACUUCUAACCAGACUGAUGAGAAAGAGAAGACACAAAUUACCAAUAUCAGGAAUGAGGUGAUGUAACUAUAGAUUCUAUAAUGAUUAGGAGAAUAGUAAAGGAAUAUUCUGAACAACUUUAUCCCUGUAAAUUCAGCAACUUAGUUGAAAUGAUAAAUUCCUUGGCAGUUCACUCGAAAAGGAAAUAAUUAACCAAAAUAGUCCUAUAUAUAUUAAAGAAAUUGACAUUAUAGUUAAGAACCUCCCUACAAAGAAAACUUUAAGCCCAGAUGGGUUCAUUGGUGAAUUCCACGAAGUAGAAUUUAAGAAAUAAUACAAACAACUCUUCUACACCAACUCUUCCAAAAAAUUAAAGAGAGUGGAGUACUUUCCAACUCAUUGUGAACUCAGCAUUACCUUGAUACUAAAACAAGGCGAAGAUAUUGUGAGAAAAUUACAUUAUCAACCAGUGUCCCUCAUGAACAGAUUGGACAGGUGCUGUUAUUGUUAUCGUUGUCAUUACUCACCUUUUUUUCAGAUCAGCAAAUAGAAGAAUCAAAAUGGGGGAGGGAAAGGGAUCUGGGGCAAAAGUCACACAGGUACACCCUGAGUUCUAACUAGAGUUUAGUUGGAAAUGGAUUUGUUGUCGUGGUUUGCUAACCAUUGCAGUAUCCAAAACGCCCAGAAAAAGAGGUAGGGAAUCAGGAAGAGGGAAAGCCCUGAGGGGGAAAUGGCCCCAUGGGCCCAGGAGAGCUGGCAAUGCUGAGGUCCUAUUCAAGGACCUUGUGGCCUUGCUGAUGCUGAGGGUUUGAGAACCAGGAAAGCCUGAUCUUUAUUGGUACUCCCAGAAUCUUCUCAAAUGGUGAUGUAAACCUGAGCAAGAAAGGCCAGGGAUGUAACCUGCCCCCUGCACGGCCAUGUCAUGGAUGUACCCAGAGCUAAUUAAAUCAGGAACCUAAUCUAAAGUCACUGGGCUUCUUUCCCACUCCUCCACCCCGAGUCUGUAGCCCACCUAAAAUACAGCUAGCCCCUACUCAUUUAUACUAAAGCGGUCAAGUGUCAGUCCCUGCCUUAAGGAAAUCUCAAGCCUGUUAGUCACUAUUAACUGUCUCUGUGAGUCAUUCAUUCAUUCAUUCAUUCAUUCAGCAAAUAUUUAUCAUGGGCUUACCAUGUGUGCUUAUUGUAUAGGCUAGUCCCUGGGGAAACAGCAAUGAACAAAAUAGCCAAAAUUUCCUUUUUUCCUGGUGUUUACAUUCUACUGGGUGGAAGAGGUCAUAAUAAAUGCAUUAUUUUUUCAGAUGGUGAUAAAUGAUAUAAGAAACAUAAACAGAGUGAGGGGUAGAGAAAGUAAUAGGAAUGGAAUGGAUUUUUAUUUCCCUGCUAGUGGGAGGCCUCUCUAAUGAGAUGACAUAUGAACAGAGAUAUGAAGAAGUGUGAGGUCCAUCUAGCAGGGCAGUUAACUGGGGGAAGAGUCCUGCAGGCAGAAGAAACAAUAAGUGCAAAGGCCCCUGGGCCAUCAUGCUUGCCUUAUGGAGCCCAGUGAGCCAGGAGGAAAGUGAUGAGAAGCAAGCCUGGAGAGAUGUCAGGGCCACAGUGGGACUUUGGCUUUGACCAAAGGGAGUAAAACGGGAAACUCUGGAGAGUUUUGAGCACUGAGCGACAUAGUCUGAUUUUCAUUUUCAAAGGAUCACUUCGGUUGCUAUGUUAAGAAUAGACUGUAGGCGGCCAAGAGUGGAGCAGGGAAGCCAGUUAGGAGUUUAUUACAGCCAGGCGGGCAGAGAAGAGGGACAAUGACUCAGACCACCGUGGCAGAGAAGGAGCAGAGAAGCAGUGGCCACGUUCUAGAAUAUUUUGAAGGUGGAGAUGAUGGGAUUUACUUAUAGACAAGAUGGAUAUGGAAAAAAAAAAAAAAAAGAGCGAGAGAGAGAGAAGAGACUGAGACAAUGCGAGGUUUUUGGCCAGAGCAACUGUGAAGAUGGAGUUGCCAUUUACAGGAACAAAGGCUUGGAGGAGAGCAGAUUUGGGGAAAGUCAAGAUUUUUAUUUCAGCCAAGUUUAAGACAUUCUUAAACAUCCAAGUGACGAGGUCAAGUAGGCAGUUUAAUAAACGGUGCCAUUUAUGUUGUGAAAAAUGGGAAUGGUGACGGGAUCCUUUUUGAGUUGCUGUGUUUUUAUUGUGGUUUUAAUUAACUUGCUUUCCUUGAAUAGCAAGAAGUGCUUGAGGCGUAAUGGAUAGUAAAUCUAAAAAUGAUCCAAGAUCGGCUGUGGUCUGCGGUGUGGUGUGUGGGAUGACGGAGUUUGUGCGCACGUUCGGGUCACGGCAGGGGCCGUGCCCACCCCCGCCCACCGUCGGCAAUGGGAAUGACUGGCUGGAGUCCGCACCCACCCCUCUCCCACCCGCCACGGUGCGGAGAGGUUUGUCAGACCCUCUGUAGAACAGUGACAGGCUUGGAAGACAUAUUUAGUAAGUAUUAGCAAUUUUUACCCUUUUUAUCAUGAUUCGUGUGCUGGAGUGAGCUUGCUUGGCACUUCUAUAAUGGAGUACUUCAGUAUAAGAUGAGCACCCCCGAGAUGCUCAGGCCGGGAGGGGUGAAGCCUCCCUAGUUUGGCAGCUGUUAGCAGGGCGGUUGUGUAGGUAGGGGCAGGAGGGCGGAGAGAAGGGCUGUCGCCUGAGUGAUUUGUGAGCUGGGAAAGGAAAAAGUCCACAUUUCCUUGGGAGCAUCACUGAUUUUUCAGGAGGCUCAAAUCAGUUCUCCUCUGAAAUUAAACGACUCUCUUCUGAACAGACAACAGUGAUUGACCCAUCGGACCUAAUACCGGAAUUUAAAGGUCCUCAUGAGCCUUACAAUAAAAUGGCAGCCAACAAAAUCUCUCCAAUUGACUUCUUUCCUGUAAUUUUAAAAGCGGAUUUCAGUGAAUUCAGCCCUUGGGUUGAAAUUACGGAGAUAAAUGGCUUGUAAGCAAAAAUGGCUGUGUGUCAAAACGGGCAUAUAUAUCCCCUACAAUUUAUGCUAGGCAAAAACCACUUGACAUCCCCAUGAGCCGAUGUGUGGUUUGUGUUCUUUUAUCAUUUCUGCAGACAAAUGCAUUUUCUAAGUCUUCUAGAAAUGGAUGCUGUGUUCUCCAUGAGUAAUAACAGUGUCUCCCAUUUAUCAAGUGCUUGUGUGCCAAGCAUGGGGCUGAGCACUUUACCAGCCUGCCUCGAUUUAUUUCUUCCCACUUUGAGGUUUUGUGUGAUCAUAUUUUUUUUUCCUUUAGGUUUCAACAUUGUCUUCUCAUUUACAAAAACACUGUUACAACUCUUUGUAACUCCAGCCUCUCUGAAAUCGUUUGUAUCUAACGGGGAUCACUAGCUCCAUUUUCCAGACGCACAAACUGAACCUCAGCUGAGCUCAGCCAGUAGAAAGCAGAGAAGACUCAAACCUGGAUCCAAGCACAUGCUCUUUUUGCUGCUUCACACACAGCAGACUGAGACCUAUUCCUCACAGGGAAGGAGGGAGACAGUUUUUAAAUUUGAAUCCUUUGUGCGUCAAGGUUCUUGGGCCAGGCAUAGCGAGCAGGAUUGGCUAGAUAAAUAUAAAUAGACACAAGCAGAAGACUACUCAGGUUGCAUUUCACUCACCGUGCUGAAGGUAAUACAUGUUUGUCCGGGAGCAGACAAAUAACACUCAGUAAAAGUGGUUACAGAGAUGAGUUUGAUUUCGAAGUGGUGUUGGCCUUGAAAGGGUUUAAGGAAAAGGAGAAAGAUGACUGUAAGAUAAGGGUGAUUAUCUGUUCUCUCCCUUCAUUAAGGUGGCAUCCCGGGCAGCAUGGCGGUGAGACAAGUGGAGCAGGUCGUUGGGGAGCCGUGUUGCAUAGAUAAGGACAUCGUUCACCCCUGACUGUUUCCAAGACAUUUCUAACAGCUGUGUAAUAUUCCACAAGAACUUAACCUGCUCAGCCCUUGCUCUGUCGAUGGGCAUACCAAUGGUUUUCAGUUCUCUGUUCCUGGACACAGAGUGGCAGCAACCUCCUUGAACACAUGUCUUUACAAUUUUGUUUUUUCUUUUUUCCUCUUUCAUGAAUCAAGAAUCUUGAUAAUUAAAGCCCAUUUCCUCUUAACGAUGUUUGCCUGGCGAUUGGCAUUUAACUGAGAUCUGAAGUGUGGUCCUUCUGGUGGUUAUUUCAUGCCGAUCGUUCCGGGCACCUUGACAUGCCAAUGUUGAUCAGCCAGAGUUCCUCCUUCCUGCUGUCAGCCUGUGUUUAAAGCUUGAGCACGUGGAAUACCUUGCGUGUUACAUCUGUGGGAGGACCACCUUUUGUCAUGUGGGACAGCCAUGUGAAGAAACUGUUGGAUUUCGCUGUGUGCUUUAAAAAAUUUUUUUGUGUUGCUUUUACAACUGUGUUAAAACUAGAUACGGUCUGAACCAAGGGCUUUCCAAAAUGUGAGUUCAGAAGGGAAGGAAAAGAGAACACAAACCAAGAUCCCUUAAGUACUGCUUGUAUCUGAAGCCUGGUGUGGGUUAGGGGGUGGAACAGUGGUGACGAACGGAUGGCGCAUAAUUAAUCAUAACAAGCCUUUGUGAUACUCUGCGCUAUCCACUAAGAAGAGGGAAGAGCCGGUAGGUGCUUCUGGCAUUUAGCAAGGCCUGCCCUGAAUGGAAAGGGACCUUCGUCAAGAUGUCAGCCUUGGCACAUGUUGUCACACUAAUCUUCUGGCUCCUCUGAUUCCAGCCAGGCUGUUGAAGAGAAAGCCAGCACCUGACCCAUCCCCCAGAGAGGUGUACAGAAGGGCUGGGAGCCAAGCCCCAGCUGAGGAGAGAAGGCUUGCUGAAGGGAUGUGUCAUGAGAGGCCCCAGAUCUGCAUCUGGAGGGAGGAUAGGGGGGCAGGAGCUUUUCACACUCUGCCCACUAAAACCCAGUUUCUUCCUUUUGUUCCAGAGCCUGGAGCUAUUUAUAACUUCUUCUUAACUUCUUGGUAGCUCCAGAGCCCAUUGGACAUAGUCUUGCUGAGAAUGUUUUAUUAUAAGGGACUCUCCUUUAUGCAAAACAGAGAGGGAAGGACAGCAGAAUACUGAAACCAUUUGCUGGAAAAUGACCUACACUGUGACCUCUUGAUGAUGGAAACUGACAUUUAUGAGCCAGAUGCUGUAUUCACCUAAGGUAUCUCUUUCCUUCCUGUGACAGCCUCAGGAGGACGGAAUCCUAUCCCCAUUUCACCCAAGUGGAAACUGAGACUUAGGGAGGCUGUGAUUUCCCCAAGGUGACCCAGUGCUAAAUGUGGGACUUGGAUCCAGAUCUCUAGCCCACCCCACUUCCCUCCCCACACCUGCAGUUGCCACUUGGGGCAGUACUCUUUCUCAAGGCCCGCUCUUUGAGAUAUGGGCAUGUCAUCUCACUCUGUGACUCUAGGAAGGUAUCUCCCCAUUCUGGGCCUCCGUUUCCUCAUCUGUAAAAUAAGGAAUGCAAACAAGGUGACCUUCGGGCCCUUCCAGCCUUCCUAAUUCAGUGAUUCUCAUUGGCUUUCCAUGUGGAAGCUACGCAUGUGGCCUGGAAACAGUAGUGGGCCUUCUUCCUCAACCCAAAGAGAUCCUGGCUUCUGCCACCCCCAAGACACACAAACCCAACUCCCCAAGGCCCAUCUGGUCAGUGGAAAGCUUGAAAUUAUCAUCUGUUUGGCGGAGGAGGGCGUGUUGAUUCAGUUCCCAUGAGAAAGUGCUAAAAUGGUGCACCCAUUUCUAGAAGAAGGUUGUUUAUCUAAGAGUACAAACACUGGGAGCUUUCAAACAACAGAGUCACUCCACAAGGAUUUUUUCAAAUGAUCAUUCCCUUAAAACACACACACACCACCACCACCACCACCACCACCACCACUCACCCUUCUAUUUACUGAAGAACAAUUUGCUAUAGUGUAGAGAGCACAGUGGUGGUGGAACACCAUGAGCUUCAGGUGACUGCUUAUGAUGCCAUCGUGGCUCAGUCGGCAUGAUGUCGAUAGAGCAUCACUGAUCAUAUGAAACAAUACGGUGUGUCCUAACAGCCUCACCUGUCCGUGACCUGGAAGUCCAGAUUUCCAUAUUAGUGUGACUUCUAGAGUUUAGAAAUCUUAAUUCCUUAAGAACCCAUUCUUUUCAAAAUAAUAAAGAGGAAAUAAGAACACUUCACUCAGCUCAAGUACAAUUUUUGGAUGCUUGUUUUUGUUUUUCUUUCCCGAGAAUGGACUUAGGAAUAGGAUGGGCUCCUUGGCCGCAAAGUUACUUUAACCAGUGGGCCAGUCCCCUGCAAGGAGGCAGAGGCAUUAAAGGAAAAGGGGAAUGUAGCCAGUUGGAAUGUGGGAAAAGCCAGCAAGGCUCUCCAGGAGGGGGAGGUGGAACCAUGGCAUAGCCAGGGCUCCCAGUGUCUGAAAUGGGAAGAUCUUUCCACUAGAUUGUCUUAUGACACCCUCACCCAUAGACAUUUCUGGAUCCCAUCGUUACAAGGCUUUAGCUCUUCUCUGUAUAGUUCUGUGUCAACUUUCUUCAUUAACUCUUAGACUCCCUUUCCAUACAUCAAGGUGUAUCUCCAAGAAAGAGAAAGAGAAUUUGGCCUGGUGCCCCUCAUUUAGGCACAUUUCUUGCUAGGCUGUUGACCACUGGCAAGUUGAUGGAUUGACUGCCCUUGGGCCAGGGCUCUGCUCCUGCCCCAGGCACCAUGAUGUCCAGGGAAGGUGUGGUCAUGGGACCCACUGAGGACUCCUUUCUUAGCCUUCCUCAGGCAUGGCCAAGGCAGGCACCAUGAUUGACCAUCAGCACAGAUGUUUCUUUUCAGACCAAGAUGGCACUUGAUGCACCCUUGUGUUUACAGAGCACCAACAUGUUCCUAUCCUGUUCACUUCUCACCUCAUACCAGUAAGUCCAUUUUUAAAAAUGAGGAAACUGAGGCUUACAGAGGUCUGGUAAUUUGCCCAAGGUUAUGCAACUAAUAGUUUGUCUUUUUGGCUCCACAUCCAUACAAACUACUUCUGAUAAAUGUGAACAAACGUUGAACAGAUAUCAGCAAGCUUAUUGAAAGCAUCCACAUUCCUACCGGUGGUAGUUUAUAUGCUGAAGUUCAUCAUAACCCUCAGAGACCCACAUCUCUAGGCUGUGUGGUCCAGCCGCCCACAGACCCACCAAGCCCACAGGCAGCACUUGGAACAUGACGGCAGACAUCAGCUCCUUGAAACUGUGUAUGAUUCAGAUUUAUUCUUUACAUCCAGAGUUUCCAAAGGCUUUCUUUUUUGUGUUUUAACUAAAGAGCCAGCGUCGGAUCCCAUUCCAACAUCCACUGGCCUUGUG